AUUGAACGCUGGCGGAAUGCUUUACACAUGCAAGUCGAGCGGCAGCGCGGGGCAACCUGGCGGCGAGCGGCGAACGGGUGAGUAACACAUCGGAACGUACCCUGUCGUGGGGGAUAACGAAUCGAAAGAUUCGCUAAUACCGCAUAAGACCUGAGGGUGAAAGCGGGGGAUCGCAAGACCUCGCGCGAUUGGAGCGGCCGAUGUCGGAUUAGCUAGUUGGUAGGGUAAAGGCCUACCAAGGCGAUGAUCGGUAGCUGGUCUGAGAGGACGACCAGCCACACGGGGACUGGGACACGGCCCAGACUCCUACGGGAGGCAGCAGUGGGGAAUUUUGGACAAUGGGGGCAACCCUGAUCCAGCCAUUCCGCGUGAGUGAAGAAGGCCUUCGGGUUGUAAAGCUCUUUCGGCAGGAACGAAACGGUGGGGGCUAAUACCCCUUGCUAAUGACGGUACCUGAAGAAGAAGCACCGGCUAACUACGUGCCAGCCGCCGCCGUAACAC
rnacentral:rRNA from 1 species